GAACGCACAUUGCGCCCCUUGGUAUCCCGAGGGGCAUGCUUGUUCGAGCGUCAUUUCACCACUCAAGCCUGGCUUGGUGUUGGGCGACGUCCCCUUUGGGGACGCGCCUCGAAACGCUCGGCGGCGUGGCACCGGCUUUAAGCGUAGCAGAAUCUUUCGCUUUGGAAGUCGGGGCCCCGUCUGCCGGAAGACCUACUCGCAAGGUUGACCUCGGAUCAGGCAGGGAUACCCGCUGAACUUAAG
rnacentral:misc_RNA from 1 species